UAUUAAAAAUUUAAUCUAUUUGUACUGUUAACAAUAACAUAUGGCGUGUCAUGUAUAUGUCAUACUGUACAAGGUCUAGUUUUUAACAAUAGAAGUGGAUGAAAAUUUUAACA
rnacentral:pre_miRNA from 1 species